rnacentral:rRNA from 1 species
UGGGGAAUAUUGGACAAUGGGCGGAAGCCUGAUCCAGCAACGCCGCGUGAGGGAUGACGGCCUUCGGGUUGUAAACCUCUUUCAGCAGGGACGAAGCGCAAGUGACGGUACCUGCAGAAGAAGCACCGGCCAACUACGUGCCAGCAGCCGCGGUAAUACGUAGGGUGCGAGCGUUGUCCGGAAUUAUUGGGCGUAAAGGGCUCGUAGGCGGUUUGUCGCGUCGGGAGUGAAAACCAGGUGCUUAACACCUGGCUUGCUUUCGAUACGGGCAGACUAGAGGUAUUCAGGGGAGAACGGAAUUCCUGGUGUAGCGGUGAAAUGCGCAGAUAUCAGGAGGAACACCGGUGGCGAAGGCGGUUCUCUGGGAAUGACCUGACGCUGAGGAGCGAAAGUGUGGGGAGCGAACAGG